rnacentral:rRNA from 1 species
CUACGGGUUGCAGCAGUCGAGAAUCUUCCGCAAUGGACGAAAGUCUGACGGAGCGACGCCGCGUGAUUGAAGAAGCAAUUCGUUGUGUAAAAAUCUUUUAUGAGGGAAGAAGUUUAUUGACGGUACCUCAUGAAUAAGGGGCUCCUAAUCUCGUGCCAGCAGGAGCGGUAAUACGAGAGCCCCGAGCGUUAUCCGGAAUUAUUGGGCGUAAAGGGUGCGUAGGCGGUGAUGUUAGUCGUUUGUCAAAUCCUCGGGCUUAACCCGAGAGUCGCGAACGAAACGGCAUCACUAGAGAAUGUGGGGAGUAUGGGGAACUCAUGGUGUAGGGGUGAAAUCCGUUGAUAUCAUGGGGAACACCGAAAGCGAAAGCACCAUACUAACACAUAUCUGACGCUUAAGCACGAAAGCGUGGGUAGCGAAUGGGAUUAGAUACCCCAGUAGUC